rnacentral:tRNA from 1 species
AUUGGUGUAGCUCAGUGAUAGAAUGCAUGCUUUGUAUGUAUGAUGUCUUGGGUUCAAUCCCCAGGGAUAAUC